UAAAAAUGCCAAGAACUUCCUGUGAAGUGGUCUUUCACCUUGAACUUGAUCUUGAAGGAGCUUCAGCUUGGGACCUCGGACUGCCCUUGGAUUUUUCCCUUAGAACUACCCUGUGGAACUGAUGCCUCCAGCUACUGUUCUCAUUCAGUUUCCGGACUUGGGCAACCAAAAAGGAGGAGACCUAACACCAAACAAAGAAAGACUCACUAAGUUCUAAUAAGUGGAACACUGGCAUUUAAAUCCUCUACAGAACUGAAAAUGAGCAUCACCAAGGCACAUGGGAGAUGUGAGUAGUUUGCAACUCAGUAUGGACAAAAUUAGGAAAUGGAGCAGAGUAAAAGAUGUCAGUAAACAAAUAUAUAAGCAAAAAAAAAAAUGGCUGGUUCUGGGGCAAAGGUCAGGAACAACC